CAGCCAGACUCCUACGGGAGGCAGCAGUGGGGAAUAUUGCACAAUGGGCGCAAGCCUGAUGCAGCCAUGCCGCGUGUAUGAAGAAGGCCUUCGGGUUGUAAAGUACUUUCAGCGGGGAGGAAGGCGAUAAGGUUAAUAGCCUUGUCGAUUGACGUUACCCGCAGAAGAAGCACCGGCUAACUCCGUGCCAGCAGCCGCGGUAAUACGGAGGUUGCAAGCGUUAAUCGGAAUUACUGGGCGUAAAGCGCACGCAGGCGGUCUGUCAAGUCGGGUGUGAAAUCCCCGGGCUCAACCUGGGAACUGCCGUCGAAACUGGCAUGCUGGAGUCUGGGAGAGGGGUGUAGAAUUCCAGGUGUAGCGGUGAAAUGCGUAGAGAUCUGGAGGAAUACCGGUGGCGAAGGCGG
rnacentral:rRNA from 1 species